rnacentral:lncRNA from 1 species
AGGGGGACGUCAAUCCGACGCGCUAGGGUUUUUGUUCGCCUAGGGGACCUCGCCUUCCUACCACACCUUUUGUUCGGGACUCCAAUAAAAAGCCAUUCUUCCCGCACCUUCCCGGCCCCGAGCCGCCUUUCAGCGAGGCCCGGCCCCACAAUGGCGCGGCGCUCUGAGGCCUCCCCAUUCACCCGCCUUGGCACGCUCACAAUCGGCCGUGUGGCAGCACAGGCCUCGCACAGGCAUUCUCGCCGAGUGACAAGGAGCCGCAUAAAGCCGCGGCCGCCGGGGGAGCAGGGAGGGCGGCCGCGGGGGAGAGCUCGGCCGCGGCGGGGCGCAGCGCCCCCGGGCGCGCUGGAAGCCUCGGCGGCGGCGGCCAAGCCAGGAGCCGCCUUCGCGCCGCCCCGCGGCUGGGCCCCAGGGUCAGGUCUCCCCUCUUUCCCGGAGACCCUCGAGUUGGGGCAGAGUCUGUGCCUCGACCGAACGCAGGUCCAGACAGCCCGUCGUCUUGCCAGACAGCAUCGGGGAAAGCUGGGGGGGGGGGGGAGAUUAAAACACCCGGGACCUCACCAGGGCCUCCCCACAAAAGGGACAUUAACAAAACCACGGAGAGAUUGGACCCGCAGCCCGGACCGGGCUCGGGGGCGGCCAGGCCGGGGACCGCACCUUUCCCGUCCCUUCCCGCCGCUCAAAAGCUCCCUCCCCAGAACAAAGCCCAGAGCCGGCCAGCGGGUUGGACAUAUUGCACCUUGUUUAUUGAUUCCUGUAGUGUAUGGCAGCGGUGUGUACACGGCGUGUGGAUACAGUUACAUAGAGAUAAUACGUGCUGGGUACAGGAUACGAAACAGAAAGGAACCGGGUCGCCCCCGUGGGCGCCGGCCCCGGAGCUGUUCAGCGCCCCCCGCCCGACUUCCGAGCGCACUCGGCUGGUCUUCCGCGAAGGGUCCUGCGCCCGCGACCGUCCGGAAUCUGAUCGGGACGUGCCCGCUGCGGAGGGAGGCGGACGCAGAACGAAAACCGACUGUGGCUGGCGCUGCGGGCCGCAACGGCUGCAGAGGACGGGUAGGGCCAGGGCUUUCUCCAGCCACGACCUCCCCUUCUCUCUCCUUCAUGCUCCGCUCUCCCUUGGGCUCCCUGCCGACGCUUCGCAGGGCCGCGGCGGGGCAGAGCGAGAGAAGCCGCCCUCGCUGCGGGAGCACCCCGCAUAGCCAGUCUUGGCCUCCCGCACUCCCCUGGCCGCCGCCCUCGGGGCUCCCAGUCCGCUUGUCCGCCUCAGAGACAGUCCUGCAACCGGACCCAGGCAUCCUCCUCGCCCCUGACCGCUGCGCAGGCCUCGAGUGGGCUGCCAACCCGAGCCCAGGGGCGCAAGACGGGUAAAUUAUUAUUUAUUUUUUUUUAACGAGGGGACCUGGCCCUUGGGUCCAGCCUUUCUCGCUCUUGAGUCCCCGCGGUGCCGAGCUGCGGAAGGGCGCCCGCCGCGUGCCUCACCCCGUCCCUACCAGGCCCGUAUGCCCUGUAAAGCGCCCUGCGCGCACGCGGCCCCGGCGGCCGCACCCUGGUGCAAGGGCUGUGCGCCGCCGCCGCCGAAGCCUCCCAGGCCGCUCACNNNNNNNNNNNNNNNNNNNNNNNNNNNNNNNNNNNNNNNNNNNNNNNNNNNNNNNNNNNN